UACGUAGGGUGCAAGCGUUGUCCGGAAUUAUUGGGCGUAAAGAGCUCGUAGGCGGUCUGUCGCGUCGGAUGUGAAAGCCCGGGGCUUAACUCCGGGUCUGCAUUCGAUACGGGCAUCACUAGAGUUCGGCAGGGGAGACUGGAAUUCCUGGUGUAGCGGUGAAAUGCGCAGAUAUCAGGAGGAACACCGGUGGCGAAGGCGGGUCUCUGGGCCGAUACUGACGCUGAGGAGCGAAAGCAUGGGUAGCGAACAGG
rnacentral:rRNA from 1 species